CCAAUAGCGUAUAUUAAAGUUGUUGCAGUUAAAAAGCUCGUCGUUGAAUUUCGGGAUCAAUAUUUCGGUCAUGCCGUUGGUAUGCACUGUUAUCAUUGAUUUCUCACCUUCUAAAGAACCGUAAUGCCAUUAAUUUGGUGUUACGGGGAAUUAGGACUGUUACCUUGAAAAAAUUAGAGUGUUUAAAGCAGGCUCACGCUUGAAUACAUUAGCAUGGAAUAAUGAAAUAGGACAUCCGAUUCUAUUUUGUUGGUUUCUAGGAUCGAUGUAAUGAUUAAUAGGGAUAGUUGGGGGCAUUAGUAUUCAAUUGUCAGAGGUGAAAUUCUUGGAUUUAUUGAAGACUAACUACUGCGAAAGCAUUUGCCAAGGAUGUUUUCAUUAAUCAAGAACGAAAGUUAGGGGAUCGAAGACGAUCAGAUACCGUCGUAGUCUUAACCAUAAACUAUGCCGACUAGGGAUCGGAUGAUGUUAAUUUUUUAAUGACUCAUUCGGCGCCUUACG
rnacentral:rRNA from 1 species